AGAGCGAACGCUGGCGGCAGGCCUAAUACAUGCAAGUCGAACGCACCUUCGGGUGAGUGGCGGACGGGUGAGUAACACGUGGGAACGUGCCCUUUGGUUCGGAAUAAUCCGGGGAAACCUGGCCUAAUACCGAAUGUGCCCCCUCCUUUAACCAGGGGGGUGGGAAAGAUUUAUCGCCAUUGGAGCGGCCCGCGUCUGAUUAGCUAGUUGGUGAGGUAAAGGCCCACCAAGGCUACGAUCAGUAGCUGGUCUGAGAGGAUGAUCAGCCACACUGGGACUGAGACACGGCCCAGACUCCUACGGGAGGCAGCAGUAGGGAAUCUUGCGCAAUGGGCGAAAGCCUGACGCAGCCAUGCCGCGUGAAUGAUGAAGGUCUUAGGAUUGUAAAAUUCUUUCAGCGGGGAAGAUAAUGACGGUACCGCAGAAGAAGCUCCGGCUAACUUCGUGCCAGCAGCCGC
rnacentral:rRNA from 1 species